AACGAACGCUGGCGGCGUGGAUAAGACAUGCAAGUCGAACGCUGACUUUUAGGUAGCAAUAUUUGAAAGUCGGAGUGGCGCAAGGGUGCGUAACACGUGGGAAUCUGCCUUGAAGUGCUGGAUAACUCCGAGAAAUCGGAGCUAAUACAGCAUGUGAUUGUGAAAUCAAAGUUGGGGAUCGUAAGACCUAACGCUUUAAGAUGAGCCUGCGGCCUAUCAGCUAGUUGGUGGAGUAAAAGCCCACCAAGGCGAAGACGGGUAGCUGGUCUGAGAGGACGACCAGUCACACUGGAACUGAGACACGGUCCAGACACCUACGGGUGGCAGCAGUCGAGAAUUUUUCUCAAUGGGCGAAAGCCUGAAGGAGCGACGCCGCGUGGGGGAUGAAUGGCUUCGGCCCGUAAACCCCUGUCAUUUGUGAACAAGUUGCUUCACCUAACACGUAAAGCAUUGAUUGUAGCGAAAGAGGAAGGGACGGCUAACUCUGUGCCAGCAGCCGCGGUAAUACAGAGGUCCCAAGCGUUGUUCGGAUUCACUGGGCGUAAAGGGUGCGUAGGCGGUUGGGUAAGUCUGGCGUGAAAUCUCCGAGCCUAACUCGGAAACUGCGUUGGAUACUAUCCAGCUUGAGGGAUGGAGGGGAGACUGGAAUACUUGGUGUAGCAGUGAAAUGCGUAGAUAUCAAGUGGAACACCAGUGGCGAAGGCGAGUCUCUGGACAUUUCCUGACGCUGAGGCACGAAAGCCAGGGGAGCAAACGGGAUUAGAUACCCCGGUAGUCCUGGCCCUAAACGGUGCGCAUUUGCUGUGAUCGGAAUCGACCCCGCUCGUGGCGAAGCUAACGCGUUAAAUGCGCCGCCUGGGAAGUACGGCCGCAAGGUUAAAACUCAAAGAAAUUGACGGGGGCCUGCACAAGCGGUGGAGUAUGUGGCUUAAUUCGAUGCAACGCGAAGAACCUUACCUGGCCUUGACAUGCAAAUAGUAGAAGGAUGAAAGUCCGACGAGGUAGCAAUACCAGUUUGCACAGGUGCUGCAUGGCUGUCGUCAGCUCGUGUCGUGAGAUGUUGGGUUAAGUCCCGCAACGAGCGCAACCCCUGUGUCCUGUUGCUAUCACAUUUCGGUGUGAGCACUCUGGACAGACUGCCUCGCUUCAACGAGGAGGAAGGUGGGGAUGACGUCAAGUCAGUAUGGCCCUUACGGCCAGGGCUGCACACGUACUACAAUGCCCGGCACAAAGGGAAGCAAGAGCGUAAGCUGGAGCAAAUCCCCUAAAACCGGGCCCAGUUCAGAUUGUCGUCUGCAACUCGACGGCAUGAAGCUGGAAUCGCUAGUAAUGGCGCAUCAGCUACGGCGCCGUGAAUACGUUCCCAGGCCUUGUACACACC
rnacentral:rRNA from 1 species